CCUACGGGGUGCUGCAGUGAGGAAUAUUGGUCAAUGGCCGGAAGGCUGAACCAGCCAUGCCGCGUGAAGGUCAGUGCCCUAUGGGCGUUAAACUUCUUUUGUGCGGGAGCAAUAAUGGUCACGUGUGGCCAGACGAGAGUACCGUACGAAUAAGCAUCGGCUAACUCCGUGCCAGCAGCCGCGGUAAUACGGGGGAUGCAAGCGUUAUCCGGAUUUAUUGGGUUUAAAGGGUGCGUAGGCUGUGAGGUAAGUCAGCGGUGAAAUGCCCCCGCUCAACGGGGUGAAGUGCCAUUGAUACUGCCUGGCUGGAAUGAGGAUGCCGUGGGAGGAAUGUGUGGUGUAGCGGUGAAAUGCAUAGAUAUCACACAGAACACCGAUUGCGAAGGCAUCUCACGAAUCCGCGAUUGACGCUGAUGCACGAAAGCGUGGGUAUCAAACAGGAUUAGAUACCCGUGUAGUC
rnacentral:rRNA from 1 species